UCCUGCACUAUUUAUCUGCAAAGGGGAUUCAAGUAGCAUGUGGUCUCUGCAGCCUACCUGGUACUAAAGAUGGAGUUCGAGCUGCCACGGGUGAACGAGCAAGAAUUUGAGAUGCAAAAUUUCAAUUCCGUUCACAAAGCAGAGUUCAGGUAUUGUGCUUAUACGCCCAUCUCUUCAUUGUAAAAGUUAUUUUACAUCGAUAGAAUGUUUUUCAGAUUGUAUCAUUGUUUCAAACAAGAAACAAUAUUAGAUUGUGAUGUAUUUCAUAAAUCCUGUAUAUUAAGCCUAAUUGCCAUUGAAGAGGUUCUUAGCAGUUAUUUCACCCACUUGAAUAAAUUAAGAAAUAGGAACUCUUUUUAACUUGUAUUCUUGAUAGUAUUUGAUAAUGAAGAUGAUGACUUUUUAGUGUUGCUA